AUUGCACGCUGGCGGCAGGCCUAACCCAUGCAAGUCGAGCGAGCGGCAGACGGGUGAGUAAUGUCUGGGAAACUGCCUGAUGGAGGGGGAUAACUCCUGGAAACGGUAGCUAAUACCGCAUACCAUCAGAUGUGCCCAGAUGGGAUUAGCUAGUAGUGGGGGUAACGGCUCACCUAGGCGACGAUCCCUCGAUGGUCUGAGAGGAUGACCAGCCACACUGGAAAUGAGACACGGUCAAGACGCCGACGGGAGGCAGCAGUGGGGAAUAUGGAACAAUGGGCGGAAGCAUGAGGCAGCCAUGCCGCGUGUGUGAAGAAGGCCUUCGGGUUGUAAAGCACUUUCAGCGGGGAGGCGUUACCCGCAGAAGAAGCAACGGCUAACUCCGUGCCAGCCGCCGCGGUAAUUC
rnacentral:rRNA from 1 species